rnacentral:rRNA from 1 species
CACGUAGGGCGCAAGCGUUGUCCGGAAUUAUUGGGCGUAAAGAGCUCGUAGGUGGUUUGUUACGUCUGCUGUGAAAACCUAGGGCUUAACCCUGGGCUUGCAGUGGAUACGGGCAGACUAGAGGUAGGUAGGGGAGAAUGGAACUCCUGGUGUAGCGGUGAAAUGCGCAGAUAUCAGGAGGAACACCGGUGGCGAAGGCGGUUCUCUGGGCCUUACCUGACACUGAGGAGCGAAAGCGUGGGGAGCGAACAGG